rnacentral:rRNA from 1 species
UACGGAGGGGCGAGCGUUGUCCGAAUUAUUGGCGUAAAGCGCGUGUAGGCGGAGUUUCAAGCCUGAGGUGAAAGGUUGGGGCUCAACCCCAUACAGUGCCUUGGGGACUGAGAGUCUGGAGGCAGGCAGAGGAGUGUGGAAUUCCUGGUGGUAGCGGUGGAAUGCGUAGAGAUACAGGAAGAACACCCAUGGCGGAAGGCAGCACUCUGGGCCUGCUACUGACGCUGAGACGCGAAAGCGUGGGGAGCGAACGGG